AGUGCCAACAAUUAGGAAUUGUUUCCCCUUGCUUGCUGCAUCGAAAACUAAAUCACAAGCUUCUGAUAAAAAGCGAGCUGUUUUGGAACUGAGGCCGAGGCGGCUACGGCAGCAUGAACUACUAAGUUAUCUCUCUUUCUUCUAUAUCUGCCACCACAGUAUGUGAAAGAACCAAAAAAGAAACAAGAUUUGAACAGAAGAUACUCCACAAUCAAUCAUCACAAGUAAAAUCUAGACAGAGGACAUGAAUGCAUAUGCAUAAAUGAAACUUCAAUGGCCACAGACCUUAGCAAGUCAGCAAUGGAUGCAACUUUAUCACUUUCAUGCGCUACAAACUGACGAAUAUUUGGCAAUCGAGCCAUCAAACCGUCAUCAACAAUCAUCAAACCAGCAGGUGCAGCAUGAUCCACAGUCGUUGCUGUAUCGUCGACCGAUACCACUGUG